UACAGAGACCCCAAGCGUUACCCGGAAUCACUGGGCGUAAAGGGUGUGUAGGCGGCAUAGUUAGUCUUUUGUUAAAGACUCGGGCUUAACCCGAGGAAUGCAGGAGAAACGGCUACGCUAGAGGAUGCGAGAGGUGUACGGAACUCAUGGUGUAGGGGUGAAAUCCGUUGAUAUCAUGGGGAACACCGAAUGCGAAGGCAGUACACUGGCGCAUUCCUGACGCUGAGACACGAAAGCAUGGGUAGCGAACGGG
rnacentral:misc_RNA from 1 species